rnacentral:rRNA from 1 species
AGCGAACGCUGGCGGCAGGCCUAACACAUGCAAGUCGAGCGCCCCGCAAGGGGAGCGGCAGACGGGAGAGUAACACGUGGGAACGUACCCUUCAGUUCGGAACAACCCAGGGAAACUUGGGCUAAUACCGGAUACGUCCGAAAGGAGAAAGAUUUAUCGCUGAGGGAUCGGCCCGCGUCUGAUUAGCUAGUUGGUGGGGUAACGGCCCACCAAGGCGACGAUCAGUAGCUGGUCUGAGGGGAUGAUCAGCCUCACUGGGACUGAGACACGGCCCAGACUCCUACGGGAGGCAGCAGUGGGGAAUAUUGGACAAUGGGCGCAAGCCUGAUCCAGCCAUGCCGCGUGGGUGAUGAAGGCCCUAGGGUUGUAAAGCCCUUUCGGCGGGGAAGAUAAUGACGGUACCCGCAGAAGAAGCCCCGGCUAACUUCGUGCCAGCAGCCGCCGUAACAC